rnacentral:rRNA from 1 species
ACUCAAAUGAAUUGACGGGGGUCCGCACAAGCAGCGGAGCGUGUGGUUUAAUUCGAGGUUACACGAAGAACCUUACCUGGGUUAGACAUCACGGUGGUAGUGAGAUGAAAGUCGAGCGACCUUCGGGAGCCGUGACAGGUGCUGCAUGGCUGUCGUCAGCUCGUGUCGUGAGAUGUUCGGUUAAGUCCGCAAACGAGCGCAACCCCUGCUGCCAGUUACAGGUGUCUGGCGGGACUGCCCGUGAGAAACGGGAGGAAGGUGGGGAUGACGUCAAGUCAGCAUGGCCUUUAUAUCCAGGGCGACACACACGCUACAAUGGGUGGUACAAUGGGUAGCGACGCCGCGAGGCGUAGCCAAUCCCCAAAGCCAUUCCCAGUUCGGAUUGCAGGCUGCAACCCGCCUGCAUGAAGUCGGAGUUGCUAGUAACCGCGCGUCAGCCAUAGUGCGGUGAAUACGUUCCCGGGCCUUGUACACACCGCCCGU